UCACUAAUAAAAUUUCAUAUAUUUAAUCAUCCAAACUAACCCUAAAUAGAAAACCAAUACCCUUUUAGUUGUUCUUAAAACAAUAUGCUCCAAUUAAAAAUUCUACACCUCUUUUGUGUAAGUGUAUAGAUUAUUAUGAGAAUUAUAAUAACAAGACUAAGAAAAGCAACAUAUGAAAUUGCUCACUCAAAACAUAGAUGAAAUAUGUUAAAAAUAAAUUUGACAAUCUUGAAAAAAUGAUUAUCGAACUCCUCGCUUGCAUCGUGUAUACACAGUACAAGGACGAUAUGAUGGACCGAUAGGUACAAUGCAAUUACCGUAGAUGUUACCAUUACAAACCCCCGGCUUCUGAAUAGCUCCGUAACAUAUGUGACGACGACGAUUGUAUGUUGGUCCUCCUUGAAGGAGACGUUUAGACGAGUGACUGUCUCCGUUUACAUUACGGCCACAGUCUUCAGUUACGGUGGAAUUGCAUAGGGUGGUGGUGACGGCAUUGUUUUGAUCUAAGAAGAAGGAAGUUUCAAAGGCAUAUAUGGGGAAAACAAUAGCAAAGAUUGCAAGAGAAACGGAGAGAAUUCCUCUCGUGAAAUCAUUUCCCAUUGUUGUUCUUUUUUUCGCUUUGAAAUGAUAACUUGCAUAUGCUCCUAUAUGAGGUUAAGUGAUCAUCUAAUUGAUUAGAAUUCCUUUUUCUUUUUUCUUUGUAUUUCCACUAACUUUACUUUAAUGAAGAUUGGUAUCAUCUUUUGCUUUAAUAAAGCACACCAAUGACAUGAGAAUAUAAUAUAAAAAGAUAAAGUAGGUAAAUUAUUUUCUCUUUUUUUUUUUUGGAAAGUUAAAUUAUAUUCUUUUUAUUGUAAUAAUUAGGGAAAAAAAUUGUUUGUAGCUUUAUUGACUUGACCAAGAGAAAAAUACUAACCGAUCAAUACAAAAAACCAAGCUUCCAAGAAGCCGGUAAAUAUAACUAAUUUUCAUAAUUAAAAGUGUUCCACAAUACAAAUAUAUACAUUUUAGAAAAAAAUAUUAAUUUUAUGAAUUAAAAUCUUUACGUAAUCUUAUCAUAGUACUAACUUGGUACAUUUCUAUUAAAAUAAACAUUACUAAUUAAUAUAAAAUAGAGAUCUCGGCCCGUUUAAGUCGAGUUGAGGUUUGAUUUUAAAAACAAAUUCAGGCCUAAGUAUGAGCCUGGCUUGACUUGACCUAUAUAAAAAAUUCAUAUUACUAUUUAAAAUUAGACCUGUUCAUGGGUUGGAUUACUCGCCUAAGCCCAAAGGCCCAUUCAAAAUUUGGGAGGAUUUGGGUAAAAAUAUUAGGUUUGAAAAUGAGCUCGGGUAAAAAGAUUAGGCCCGUUUGAAAUAUGGACCGGGCUCGAGCUUGAACAUUCAAAGUUUGAGUCUGGCCCAAACCGUCCUAUUUUUAAGUUUAUAAUACUUUAUAUUAUGUAAUUUAUAACAUAUUAAAAAAUAACCUAUAUUAAAUAUAUAAUACUACUCUUAUGUAAACAUUAAAAUAAUGUUAAGAUGACUGUAUAAAAAUUUUCAAUAAAUAAAAAGAUUAUUGAAUAUAAAAUGAAAAUGAUAUAAAUAUUUUUUUUAAAUUAAAAAUAAUAUGUGUAGGCCUAAGAUGAGUUUAGGUUAGUCUUUUGUAAAUAUGAGCAGGUUUGGACAAAAUUUUAAACCCAUAUUUUGAGUCAGGCCGAGCUUGACCAAACAUAAAAUAUAUUAAUAUCAAGUUUAGGCUCGACACGAAUCUAACUCGACCUAGCCCAUGAGCAUCUUUAUUUAAAAUUAAUAAAACAUAUAAAAAAAUUUAUUGAUAUUUAUAUAUUUUAUAAUUAAAUUUAAAUAAAAAUAUUUUAAAAAUCAUUUAAUUGAAACUUGAGCUAGAUUGAAGACAAAAAAUCUUAUUCAAACUGAACCCAACUCAAACAAAAUUGACCGAGUCUAACAGAUUACCCAAUCUAUAAACAACUCUACUACAAAAGCUCCAUCACCAAACUCACCCUACACACUUCUCACACACAUAAUCGCUUUAUUUUUCCACAAAGAACAAAUUUAACAACAAAUUUAACUUGGUCGACAUUUUCUUCUUAGCUUGAUGGCAAGAUUAAGAGUUCUUUUGGAUAGGCGGUGUGUUUAUCUGAAGUCAGUGUAAAAAUAAUGGUGGCGGUGAGAAUCUGCAGCAGUACUGUAAUGUGAAACAAAAAAAAAGUUAAAUACACCACAUUGAAAAUAAACUCCAUCCAAAAGGAACCUAAUUAUAUAAAAGUAAAGUUUUCUUUGAGUAAUCUCUUUGUGGCUCAUUUGCUGAGCUUCAAUUUGUUGAUUUUCUUUAACAUGGGCUUUGAUUGUGCUAAUGCAUGGGGGAUCCUUGGUGGUAAUAUUAGGAAUUUUUGAUGAGCUUUCUGACAUUUUCAAAGUGUAGCAAAGAAGGAGGAGGGGGAGGUAUCGUCACUUUCUUUUACAUAUAUAUAUAUACAUUUUAGGUUUGCAAUGACAAAUAUAUAUACAUAUAUAUAUGCGAAUUAGGUGUGCAAGAGAAUGUUAAAUGUGUUCAUUAGAUUAAUGUGUUUAUUUUUAUUUUUUUAGGGUAAGAUGCACAUUAUACAUAUUUAUAUACAUCAAUAGUAUGUUUGGCUAGCUUGUAAUGUUACUAAAGUCGCAUAUGUGAUUGCAUAAUAAUUAUUGUAAUAUGGUUCAGAUGGUUUUAUUAUGUGCUUGUGCAGAAAUUAUGAAAUGCUGUGUUUGAUAUUUAACUAAUGAAAUAUACGAAUGCCAUUAAUAUUAAGGUUAUGUGGUUCGAACAUUAAUCUAAAUUAAGUAUAUGGAAUUUGGCUUUGUUGCAUAUUAGUUGAAUUCGAAUAUGUGGUUAUAUAGAUUAUAUUAAUAUGGUCGAAAUUUGAAGCUAGUUUGUAUAUGUGUUAUAGUAAUAAAGCAUGACACAUUUUAUCUGGUUAUGUGUUCUUUAUGUGCAAAAAUUUAAUUAACAUGAUUUUGGUGGAUGAUUGAUAUUGGAUAUAGAAGUUGGUACAAUCAUGUGUAUAAAAAUGAUAAAUGACUAUGCGAAACUGUGUUUUAUCCGGUAAUGCCUCGUAACUCUAAUUUAGCGACGGAUACGGGUUAGGGGUGUUACAAGUACUUUUGAUUCAAAAGGGUACAAAUACACAGCUAAAAGUGGGGUUUUUAAUAUUUCCAAAGGUUCCCUCGUUGUGAUGAAAGGGAAGAGAAAGACUGCCAAGUUAUAUGUUUUGCAGAAUUGGCAUGGCAGAAUUGAGCAAAAGAGGACUUCUUGAUAGGCAAUGAUUUUGCAAACUGAAGUUCUGUGAGCACUGCAUUUUUGGGAAGCAAAAGAGAGUUUGAUUCACCACAGGAAUCCAUAACACGAAGGGACCAUUGGAGUAUAUUCAUUCUGAUCUGUGGGGGCCAUCCAGAGUGCCUUCGAGAGGUGGAGCUAAUUAUAUGCUAACUUUUAUUGAUGAUUUUUUCAGAAAAUUUUAGGCGUUCUUCUUGAAGUAGAAAAGUGAUGUGUUUUCCGCAUUUAAGUCUUGGAAAACUAUGAUUGAAAAACAGACUGGAAAAAAAAUAAAAUACCUUUGCACAGAUAAUGGCUUAGAGUUCUGUUUUGAUGAGUUUAAUAAACUGUGCAAGUCAGAAGGGAUCGUGAGACUCUUGACAGUUCGUCAUACUUCACAGCAAAACGGCGUUACAGAACGGAUGAACAGAACGAUCAUGGAGAAGGUUCGAUGUAUGUUGUCAAAUGUCAACUUACCAAAGUCAUUUUGGACCGAAGCAGCCUCUACUAUAUUUUUUUGAUCAAUCGAUCUCCAUCCAUUGCCAUUGAGAAAAAGACUCCACAAGAGGUAUGGUCUGGUAAUCUUGCUGACUAUUCUGAUUUAAAGAUCUUUGGGUGUCCUGCAUAUGCUCACGUUGAUAAUGGAAAAUUAGAAUCGAGAUCCAUUAAAUGUGUUUUUAUUGGUUAUAAAGUUAGUGUAAAAGGGUAUAAGUUAUGGUGUCCUGGAAAUAAAAAAGUUGUGAUUAGCAGAGAUGUUUUUGAUAAAACUGCUAUGCUACCUAACUUAUCUCUUAAAGACUCUUCAAAUAAAGAAAAUCAAAAGCAAUUGAGCAUCAGAUUAAUCUAGAAUCUACAACAAAGUAGACUCCACAAGCCAGUACAAAAAUCUAAAAUAGAGUUGCUUCUUCACCACAAUACUCUAUCGCCAAAAAUAGAAUUAGAAGAGAAAUUAAACCUCCAAAGAAGUAUGUUGAGGUUGAUCUAGUUACUUAUGCUUUAAAUGUGGCUGAAGAUAUAGAUGCAAACCAAGAGUCAUCUAAUUAUUCUGAUGCGGUUAGCUAUGAAGACUCAGAAAAGUGGAUGUUUGUUAUGUAAGAGGAGAUGGAAUCACUUCACAAAAACAAAACAUGAGAUCUUGUGAAAUUUCCUAAAGGUAAAAAGGUUGUUCGUUGUAAAUGAGUGUUUAAAAAGAAAGAAGGAGCUCUAGGAGUUGAAGAACCCAUAUAUAAAGUAAGACUUGUUGCAAAGGGUUACAGUCAAAUUCCAGGAGUGGACUUCACAGAUGUAUUCUCCCAAGUUGUGAAGCAUAGUUCGAUUCGGGUUUUGCUUGGUAUUGUGGCCAUGCAUGAUUUGGAGCUUGAGCAGUUAGAUGUAAAAACUGCAUUUUUGCAUGGAGAACUUGAGAAGGAUAUUUACAUGCAACAACCAGAGGGUUUUACAGUCUUAGAAAAAGAGGACUAUGUUUGCUUACUGAAAAAGUCCCUUUACGGUUUGAAAUAGUCACCAAGAUAGUGGUAUAAGAGGUUUGAUUCAUUUAUGUCUUCCCAUGACUUUAAAAGAAGUAGCUUUGACAGUUGUGUUUACUUUAAGAAAAACAGUGGUGGUUCUUUUGUGUAUCUACUCCUUUAUGUUGAUGACACGUUGAUAGUAGCAAAAGAUAAAGGAAAGAUAAGAAAGGUCAAAGCCUAACUAAGUAAAGAAUUUGAGAUGAAAGAUUUGAGACUAGAAAAGAAGAUACUUGGUAUGGAGAUUCUCAGAGAUAGAAAAGCAAGUAAAUUGUACCUAAGUUAGAAGUGGUACAUUGAGAAAGUUCUUUGCAGAUUCAAUAUGCAGAAUGCUAAGCCUGUUAGUACUCAUUUAGCAUCCCAUUUCAGACUUUCAUCAGCUUUGUCUUCAUAAUUAGAUGAUGAGAUUGAGUACAUGUCACAUGUUCCAUACUCUAAUGCAGUGGGAUCUCUCAUGUAUGCUUGGUUUGUUCACGUCUAGAUUUAUCAUAUGCAGUCAGUGCAGUUAGCAAAUAAAUGGCGAAUCUUGUAAAGAACAUUAGAAAGCAGUUCAAUGGAUUUUAAGAUAUUUACGAGGUACUCCUGAUGUUUGCUUACAGUUUGGAAGAACUAAAGAUUGAGUCAUUGGGUAUGUUGAUGCUGAUUUUGUUGGAGACCUUGAUAAAAGAAGAUCUCUCACAGGUUAUGUCUUUACAAUCAGAGGUUGUGCAAUCAGUUGAAAAGCCACUUUGCAAACUACAGUUGCUUUGUCUACCACUGAAACUAAGUACAUGGCAAUUACUGAGGCUUGUAAAGAAGCUAUUUGGUUGAAAGGACUCUUCAAUGAACUUAAUAAAGACCUUCAAAUCAAUAUAGUAUUUCGUGAUAGUCAAAGUGCCAUCUUCCUUACAAAAGAUCAAAUAUUUCAUGAGAGAACAAAACACAUUGAUGUUUGGUAUCAUUUUGUUCAUGAUAUUAUUGCUCGUGGUGAUAUUUUUGUGAGCAAAAUUAGUACUCAUGAAAAUCCUGCAGAUAUGAUGACUAAGUCACUUCUUAUAACCAAGUUUGAGCAUUGACUAAACUUGAUUGGUGUUCAUUGUUGAAGUUAAACCCUUAAGGGGUUUUAUGGAAGAGGUGUAGAAAUUGUUCAUUGAGAGUUCACGAUGAAGAACUUGUUCGUAGAGAAUUCGUGUCAAGGUGGAGAUUGUUAGAGUUGUGUGACCCAAAUUCUAAGAGAUUACUUGCAAGUCAAGUUAAACAAAAUAUAUCUUAUUUCUAGAAGAUUUAGUAUUUAUAAGUAUAAUAUAUUUAACAUUUAUUAGCAUAAUAUAUUUGAUUUUGAUUAGAAUUAGGUUUUUUUUUCAACCUAAUAGAUGUAGUCGAAACUCCUCUUCAAAUCAUUCGAAUUCAACAUAGGGAAUUUUCUUCUCCUUUGCCCGUGAUUUUUUCCCGAAAGGGUUUCCACGUAAAAUCUGUGUUCUUUAUUUUUAUUUCUCUUUUCUUUGUAAUAUAUUGUCAUUACCGAUGUUCUAUUUUCAUAGUGUAUAGAUUAUUAUGAGAAUUAUAAUAACAAGAUUAAGAAAAGCAACAUAUGAAAUUGCUUACUCAAAACAUAGAUGAAAUAAGCUAAAAACAAAUUUGACAAUCUUGAAAAACUGAUUACCGAACUCCUCGCUUGCAUUGUGUAUACAGAAUACAAGGACGAUAUGAUGGACCGAUAGGUACAAUGCAAUUACCGUAGAUGUUACCAUUACAAACCCCCGGCUUUUGAAUAGCUCCGUAAUAUAUGUGACGACGACGAUUAUAUGUUGGUCCUCCUUGAAGGAGACAUUUAGAUGAGUGACUAUCUCUGUUUACAUUACGGCCACAAUCUUCGGUUACAGUGGAAUUGCAUAGGGUGGUGGUGAUGGCAUUGUUUUGAUCUAAGAAGAUGGAAGUUUCAAAGGCAUAUAUGGGGAAAACAAUAGCAAAGAUUGCAAAAGAAACAGAGAGAAAUCCUCUUGUGAAAUCAUUUCCCAUUGUUGUUAUUUUUUUUUUCCUUUGAAAUGAUAAUUUGCAUAUGCUCCUGAGGUUUAAG
rnacentral:lncRNA from 1 species